GCGCUCGUAGCUCAACUGGAUAGAGUACCUGGCUACGAACCAGGCGGUUGGAGGUUCGAGUCCUCCCGAGCGCGCCA
rnacentral:tRNA from 35 species